GGGCCACGCCCCUCCCCGCUCUACCCUGGUUAACACCUCCCCGGGGUGCGCGCGCCCGCCCGCGCCUGAGGUCCCGCCUCCGCGGUGGAGACAGCCAAUCGCGGCCCGCUCUCACUGCGCACCGGUGACGGCGCGAGGGAAGGGGCGGGGCUACGGAGGCCGGUCGCUCCGGGCGGCCGCACCCUCGCUCUAGGUGCGGAGCAGGGCGGUCCCGCCCGGUGACUUGUAGCUACCUGACCCGAACCUCCAAGCACGCACCCCGCCCUCUUCUGCCGCUGGCUCCGUCCAGGCCGUUACUGUAAAGCGAGCUCCAGGAAGCUGCCACAGGAGGAGCCCUGUGUGGGGUCUGCCUGGCCUCCAGAGUGAGACCUUGCCUCAGAAUAGAUGAGUGGAAAUAGGCGUGCAUGAGGAACAGGAGGAGCGGUCCUAGCGGGAAAGCACCCAGCAUGAGGGACUCUUCAAAUUUCGAGUAUGGCUUUAAUGGAGACGUGCAGGGGUACCUCUUGUGGGCUUGUCUGGGUUUCAUUAAGGUUUUUUGCUAUCUGGGAGAGUUCAAUCUUGUCUGCCCUAUUGUGCAAAGGAAAUGUUUGUUUGGGGACAACCUCAAGGUUGGAAAUGUCCCACUCUUUAAGUAGUGAUGGGCAGAGUCACGAGGGGUAUUUUAGUUACUAUUGUGAUUGCUACUUUUUUUUUGUUUUUUUUCGAGACAGGGUUUCUCUGGUUUUGGAGCCUGUCCUGGAACUAGCUCUUGUAGACCAGACUGGUCUCAAACUCACAAGAGCCUCGCCUCCCUAGUGCUGGGAUUAAAGGCCUGCUACUGUUUUUUAAGCAAGGUCUGAACCUCUAGCUCAGUACCCCAGACUGGCCUUGAACUUGUGAUUGUCCCUAACUGCAGAUCUCCUAACUGCAGAGCUGGCAAGCACCACCACGCUAGCAGGAAGGUCCAGUGGCUUAAAAACAGGUGUGGAAAACAAACAAACACUGCCUUCAGCUGGGGCUGAAGGGUCUCAGUGCAAGUUCAAGGACAGCCAAGGCUGUUAAACAAAUAAACAAACAAAACCAAGGUGGACUGCUCCUGAGGAGUGGCUCCCUCAGUCCUCGGGCCUUCCUGUACUCACUUAAACCUGUGCAUCCUAUAACCUGCCCUCCUCCUCUGUGUUCAGCAAAUGUACACAUACAUGAAGUUGUGUUUGCAUUUACUGUGUGUGAACCUGGUUUGGUGCCCAUGUGGAGGUCAGAGAACAGCUUCUGGGAGUCAGUUCCUUCCAACAUGUAUGUCCCAGAGAUUGGAUUUAGACUUUAAGGCUUGGCAGCAUGGGCCUUUAUCUGCUGAACUGUCUUGCUGACCCCUAGACACAAAAUAUUUUUUUUUUGUUUUUUUUUUGACACUUCUUGCCAUGUAGCCUUAGCUGGCCUGGAACUCAAGCUCUGCCUGCCCCUGAAUACUGGGGUUAAAAGUGUGCUCAGCCUCACCAGCCUCAGACCCUUAGCCAGGAGCAAAACAGUAUGUUUGGACUGAGCUGUCUAAAGUCAAGGCCUGCAUCCUGGGAGUAGGUCUAUACUGGCUCAGGGAAGGCGGAGUCAAAUGUGCUGUGGAAUAAUCCUUUUUUUUUUUAAUUUUUUAAAUUUAUUUUAUUAUGUAUACAAUAUUCUGUCUGCAUGUAUGCCUGUAGUCCAGAAGAGGGCACCAGACCUCAUUACAGAUGGUUGUGUUCCACCAUGUGGGUUGCUGGGAAUUGAACUCAGGACCUUUGGAAGAGCAGGCAAUGCUCUUAACCACUGAGCCAUCUCUCCAGCCCCUGGAAUAAUACUUGUGCACACUGUGAAGAUGCAUUGCUCUCGUUAUUAAUAAGCUGAUUGGCUGAUGGUUAGGCAGGAUUUGGGGGGCAGAGAGAACGCUGAGAAGAGGCUGAGAAGAGGAGGGACAAAGUCUCGGGAGUCACAAAGAGAUUCCUUGAGACUCAGCGCACAGGAUGGGAAGUGCGCAGAGGAGGUAAAUGAGCCUGGGGGCAGGCAGCACAUAGAUGCAUAGAAACGUUAAUUUACCAUCUCAGAGCUGCCCAGGCCACACACAGAGUAAAGCCUGGAAGAGCUUGCUGGACUGAGCCCUUACACGGGGCACUGGUGUGUGAUGUGGCUCAAAUGUUGAUAAAGCAUUAAAGAAUUUUGCUAUUGCUAGGUGGUGGUGGUACGCACCUAUAAUCCCAUCACUCUGGAGGCAGAGGCAGGUGGAUCUCUGUGAGUUUGAGGCCUCUCUGGUCUAGGAUAGCCAGAACUACGCAAAGAAACCCUGUCUCUUAAAACAAAUGCAAAACAAAAUUUACUAUUGCUCUUUUCAACUCCUUACCUGUUGAAAAACAUGGCAGCUCCAUUAACCAGCACCACCAUUGCUAGGUGCAAGUCUGCGAUAAAGAGUUAUGUCCAAAUGGGCUGUGGUGGCACAUAGCUUUGAUUCUAGCACCAAAGAGGCUGAAACAGGAGGAUGUCUAAUUCCAGGGCAGCCUGGAUACAUUACAAGAUACUGCGUCAGAAAAAAGAAGCCAAGGAAGACACAAAACAGAUGCUCAGUGUCCAAAGACGGCAGAACAGACAGCCGGAAGGAGUCUUGCCAGCAAGGCAGAGGACCUGCAUCUGAUCGUCGGAACUCACGUGGCAGAAGAAAAGAACUGGGUCCCUGAAGUUGUUCUCUCAUCCCCAUGCAAACUGUGACGUGUGUACCUCUCCCACGUGCACACAAAGGAAGUGUAAUUUUACACUUUUGGUUGUGAGCCUUGCCUUUAAAGGCUGAGCCAUCUUUCCAUCCCAGUAAGUAUAAUUUUAAAAAGUUGAAUAAACUUAAGUUUGUGUAACAAA